UUUUUACAAUGAAGAGUUUGAUCCUGGCUCAGGAUGAACGCUAGCGGCAGGCCUAACACAUGCAAGUCGAGGGGUAACAGGGAAGCUUGCUUCCGCUGACGACCGGCGAACGGGUGAGUAACACGUAUGCAACCUGCCUCUAACUGGGGGAUAGCUCAUAGAAAUGUGAAUUAAUACCCCAUAAUAUAUAUUUAAGGCAUCUUUUAUAUAUUAAAGCUCCGGCGGUUAGAGAUGGGCAUGCGGGACAUUAGCUUGUUGGUGAGGUAACUGCUCACCAAGGCUACGAUGUCUAGGGGGUCUGAGAGGACUAUCCCCCACACUGGUACUGAGACACGGACCAGACUCCUACGGGAGGCAGCAGUGAGGAAUAUUGCGCAAUGGAGGAAACUCUGACGCAGCCAUGCCGCG
rnacentral:rRNA from 1 species